GUUGGAUUCUUCUGCUUGACUGCCUUACCAUGCCCGUUCCAGUUCCUGAGCUUCAUGUCUGUUCUCCAUAUUCAAGACCAUUUUUGAUUCUGUUUGCUGUGCCAAGCCUGUCCAUGACCUCGACUAUUUUGCCCAUGCUAUGUCAGUCCAUGUCGUGUCUGCUCCUGCUACCUCCUGCCUGCUGUCAGCCUCCUCGAUCGGCGCCAUUGUGACUCCUGUCUCCUACUAUACAAUUUAGAGCCUUUAGCCAAUCUGCCCCUUGCCUCUGGAAUGCUUUCCCUCCUGACAUCAGAAACACUGACACUGUUUCUUUUCAAAUCCCAGCCGAAAACUGAUGUCUCUGUAUUUUCCAUUUUUAUUUUCUAUUUUAAUUUUUAAUGCUGGUGACCUUGUGUGCCCUAAAAGGUGCCUUUUUAAAUAAAUUGUAUUAUUAAUAAUUUUUAUUAUUAAUACAUCUGUUACAAAAACAUGACAGCUUCAGUGUCAGGGUGAGUCAUUGUGUUGCAAACCUGACAACACAGUGUACUUUUAGCAUCAAUUCUCAAGUUGACAUCUUAGAUCACAUGCCAGUUAGAAAUACUCUCUGCUGUAUAGGUACACAAAACAAUGUAUCUUAAUAAUUUAGAAACCGAUUUUUAGACACACUAUCAUCUUUGUAAAUAGAAAACACUGGAAAAGUA